rnacentral:lncRNA from 1 species
CAAGGGGCUAAAUGCAAAUUUCGACAUCGUCUGCCACGUCAGCUUGCCCCUCCAUUAGGGCGGCAGGGUCUAUUUUUGUAAUUUUUUGUGCCGAUAGAUUAUUUCCGUAAAUAUUAAAAGAAAAAAAUUUAAAAAUGAAAAAAAAUUCACUACUCAUCAGCGACCUGCUGCUAGUGGUGGUCCGCGGCGGCGGCCAUGGCGCCCCCGCCUGAAUCCGAAACCCUCCGCCUCCACGCCUCCUUCCUCUGCUCCCUCGCCAUCGCCCUCCUCCGCGCCGGCCGCCUCUCCGCCGCCUCCCACCUCCUCUCCUCCCUCCCCUCCCCUCCCGCCCCCCUCCUCCUCCGCCGCCUCAUCCCCGCCCUCGCCACCUCCGGCCUCGCCGCCGCCGCCAUCCGCUUCCGCCCCGCCGACCCCGCCUCCCUCAACGCCCUCCUCUACUCCCACUGCCGCCUCCGCCUGCUCCGCCCCGCCAUCGCGCUCCUCCGCUCCUCUCGCCCGACCACCGUCGCCUACAACAUCCUUCUCGCCGCCCUCUCCGACCAUGCCCAUGCCCCCGCGGUGCUCGCCGAAAUGUGCAAGCGCGGGGUGCCGUUCGACGGGGUCACCGUCAACACUUUGCUCGCUGGGCUCUGCAGGAAUGGCCAGGUCGACGCGGCGGCGGCCCUGGCCGACAGGGGCGGAGGGAUCCACGCCUUGGAUGUCAUCGGCUGGAACACUCUCAUUGCUGGAUAUUGCAGGGUUGGGGACACGCCCGCAGCAUUGUCCGUGGCCGACAGGAUGACGGCACAGGGGCUGCCAAUGGAUGUGGUGGGCUACAAUACCUUGGUUGCCGGGUUCUGCCGCGCCGGCCAGGUUGAUGCUGCGCGGGGCGUGCUGGACAUGAUGAAGGAGGCAGGGGUUGAUCCGAAUGUGGCGACCUACACACCCUUCAUUGUGUACUACUGCAGGACGAAAGGGGUCGAGGAGGCAUUCGAUUUGUAUGAGGGAAUGGUCAGGAAUGGAGUGCUGCUGGAUGUGGUCACGCUUAGCGCUCUCGUUGCUGGACUUUGUAGGGAUGGCCGCUUCUCGGAGGCGUAUGCUCUUUUCAGGGAGAUGGACAAGGUUGGGGCUGCGCCAAACCAUGUCACCUACUAUAAUCUCUCCCCCAAUGGUGUUACAUACACUGUAUUGAUCGACGCUCUCUGCAAAGCUCACAACGUCGAUGAGGCAGAGCAGGUGUUGCUGGAAAUGGAGGAGAAAUCGAUCAGUCCAAAUGUUGUUACGUUCUCAUCGGUCAUCAACGGCUUUGUUAAAAGAGGAUUGCUUGACAAAGCAACUGAGUAUAAGAGGAUGAUGAAGGAAAGGGGCAUCAAUCCAAAUGUGGUGACCUACGGAACACUUAUUGAUGGUUUCUUCAAGUUCCAAGGGCAAGAUGCAGCUCUUGAGGUGUACCAUGACAUGCUAUGUGAGGGUGUCAAGGUAAAUAAAUUCAUUGUUGAUUCUCUGGUGAAUGGUUUGAGACAGAACGGAAAAAUAGAGGAAGCCAUGGCAUUGUUCAAAGAUGCGAGUGGGAGUGGCCUGAAAGGAGAGACUGCUAAAGCUCUAAAACUCCUUCAUGAAAUGAAGAUGAGCUCCAUAAAGCCUAACCUCAUCACAUACAACACACUGGUUGCUGGUCUCUUUGGGACUGGGGCAGUGGAGAAGGCAAAGUAUUUGCUAAAUGAGAUGGUCUCAGCUGGAUUCUCUCCAUCCUCUCUGACUCAUCGACGGGUUUUGCAAGCAUGUUCACAAAGCAGGAGGUUGGAUGUGAUUCUGGAUAUUCAUGAAUGGAUGAUGAAUGCUGGGCUUCAUGCUGAUAUCACCGUAUACAAUACGCUUUUGCAAGUUCUGUGUUACCAUGGCAUGACAAGAAAAGCCACAGUUGUUCUGGAAGAAAUGUUGGGGAGUGGAAUUGCCCCAGACACAAUCACAUUCAAUGCUCUUAUUCUUGGUCAUUGCAAGAGCAGCCAUCUAGAUAAUGCAUUUGCUACAUAUGCUCAGAUGCUUCACCAAAACAUUUCACCAAAUAUAGCUACUUUCAACACGCUUCUGGGUGGUCUUGAGUCUGUUGGAAGGAUCGGAGAAGCAGGCACCGUGCUCAUUGAGAUGGAGAAGAGUGGGCUUGAACCCAAUAAUCUCACCUAUGACAUACUGGCUACAGGACAUGGAAAACAAAGCAACAAAGUCGAAGCAAUGAGAUUGUAUUGUGAAAUGGUGGGAAAGGGCUUUGUUCCUAAAGUAAGCACUUAUAAUGCUCUUAUAAGUGACUUCACUAAAGCAGGAAUGAUGACUCAAGCUAAAGAGCUCUUCAAGGAUAUGCAAAAGAGAGGUAUGAUCUUGCAAGAGAGCAGAAAUCCCAGAAUACAUAUUUUACGGAAAUAUACUGCUUCAGUGCAUCUAGACAUCAAUCAAAGAUUGCCAUAUCCAGGGUCAAUCUUGCAUUGCAGUGGAGACCUUUGCAUACUUGUGUUGCCUGGCCUGGACCACAGGAUUAUCAGUGGGACUGGUGGAGUCCUGAUAACAGCUGAACUCUUCAGGUUAUUGCACAAAACAUUUACCAAGCCAAGGAAAAAGGAGGUAUGUUUACUUCUAUCUGUUCUGUGCAUUCAGUCAUCCAAAGCUUUCCAUGUAUUUGGCCAUGUUUGA